rnacentral:tRNA from 1 species
GGUCGCUUAGCUCAGCCGGGAGAGCACCUCCCUUACAAGGAGGGGGUCACUGGUUCGAUCCCAGUAGCGACC